GCAUUAAUGGGGUAGUGGUAACCUCGAUCGUUGCCACUAAACGAAUUCGAUCGGCCCCCGGUUCAAUUCCGGGUUAAUGCA
rnacentral:tRNA from 1 species